AAGCGUGAAGCCCCCCUCAAGAUGAGAUAUCCCAUAACGUCAAGUUAGUAAGACCCCUUGAAGACGACGAGGUAGAUAGGGCAGAGGUGGAAGUGCGGUAACGCAUGGAGCUGACUGUUACUAAUAGGUCGAGGGCAUAACCAAG
rnacentral:rRNA from 1 species